rnacentral:rRNA from 1 species
UGGGGAAUAUUGCACAAUGGGCGCAAGCCUGAUGCAGCCAUGCCGCGUGUGUGAAGAAGGCCUUCGGGUUGUAAAGCACUUUCAGCGAGGAGGAAGGCAGUCGUGUUAAUAGCACGAUUGAUUGACGUUACUCGCAGAAGAAGCACCGGCUAACUCCGUGCCAGCAGCCGCGGUAAUACGGAGGGUGCAAGCGUUAAUCGGAAUUACUGGGCGUAAAGCGCACGCAGGCGGUUUGUUAAGUCAGAUGUGAAAUCCCCGCCCUUAACGUGGGAACUGCAUUUGAAACUGGCAAGCUAGAGUCUUGUAGAGGGGGGUAGAAUUCCAGGUGUAGCGGUGAAAUGCGUAGAGAUCUGGAGGAAUACCGGUGGCGAAGGCGGCCCCCUGGACAAAGACUGACGCUCAGGUGCGAAAGCGUGGGGAGCAAACA